CAGCCGCCACGGUAAUACGAGGGGGGCAAGCGUUGUUCGGAAUUAUUGGGCGUAAAGGGCGCGUAGGCGGUUUGACAAGUCUGAUGUGAAAUCUCUGGGCUCAACCCAGAGUCUGCAUCGGAAACUGUCGAGCUUGAGUAUGGGAGAGGUGAGUGGAAUUUCCGGUGUAGCGGUGAAAUGCGUAGAUAUCGGAAGGAACACCUGUGGCGAAAGCGGCUCACUGGACCAUUACUGACGCUGAGGCGCGAAAGCUAGGGGAGCAAACAGGAUUAGAUACCCCAGUAGUCCCUGUCUCUUAUAC
rnacentral:rRNA from 1 species